GAUGAACGCUGGCGGCGUGCCUAACACAUUCAAGUCGAACGGCGAAGUACCCUUCGGGGUGCCAAGCAGUGGCGGACGGGUGAGUAACGCGUGAGCAACCUGCCGUACAGAGGGGGAUAACACAGGGAAACUUGUGCUAAUACCGCAUAACGCAUAGGGAUCGCAUGUUUUCUAUGCCAAAGAGAAAUUGCUGUACGAUGGGCUCGCGUAUGAUUAGACAGUUGGCGGGGUAACGGCCCACCAAAUCAACGAUCAUUAGCCGAACUGAGAGGUUGAACGGCCACAUUGGAACUGAGAAACGGUCCAGACUCC
rnacentral:rRNA from 1 species